UACGAAGGGUGCAAACGUUGCUCGGAAUUAUUGGGCGUAAAGCGCACGUAGGCGGCUUUGCAAGUCCCAUGUGAAAGCCCACGGCUCAACCGUGGAAGUGCAUGGGAAACUGCAGAGCUUGAGUACUUAGAGGAUCGCGGAAUUCCGGUGUAGAGGUGAAAUUCGUCAGAUAUCGGGAGGAACACCAGUGGCGAAGGCGGCGAUCGUGGGAAG
rnacentral:rRNA from 1 species